rnacentral:rRNA from 1 species
CGAGAUUGCAGAUUCCGUGAAUCAUCGAGUCUUUGAACGCACAUUGCGCCCCCUGGUAUUCCGGGGGGCAUGCCUGUCCGAGCGUCAUUGCUGCCCAUCAAGCACGGCUUGUGUGUUGGGUCGUCGUCCCCUCUCCGGGGGGGACGGGCCCCAAAGGCAGCGGCGGCACCGCGUCCGAUCCUCGAGCGUAUGGGGCUUUGUCACCCGCUCUGUAGGCCCGGCCGGCGCUUGCCGAACGCAAAUCAAUCUUUUCCAGGUUGACCUCGGAUCAGGUAGGGAUACCCGCUGAACUUAAGCAUAUCAAUAAGCGGAGGAAUCUU